AUGCAGGCCACCGGGAGCGUGACUUGGGUCGUCGGCGCUCAGGCGUCCGUCUUGGGGAGAUGCAGCGGCGGGGUGCCCUACCCUUCCUCGUCGUCUUCUGCUUCCGCUGGUAGGUCCCAGGGGCUCGGCACGGUGCGGUGCUGCGUGCAGGCGCAGGAGAAGAAGCCACGAGUGAGGAAGACUAAGGAGGAGCGGAGGGAGAUGGUCGAGUCCUUCGUUGACACGUAUCGGGUUUCAAACAACGGGAAAUUUCCCUCAGUCAAUCUUACACACAAGGAAGUUGGAGGAUCAUAUUAUAUAGUCCGUGAAAUUAUGAGAGAUAUCAUCCAGGAGAACAGAGUUCUUGGCCCUGGUGACUUGAAUGCUAAGACGUUGAGUUUUGAGGAUUGCCCUGAUUCUUCAGAAUUAUCAAAUAGGCAUGAAUUGGGCCAAGACAACAUAGAGAUAUUAGAUAUGUCUCAUGAGUAUCUUGGCAACAAAGAUUCUGUGCUGGAAACGUCUGACAAGGAUGAAGCAUUUUCAUUACAAACGAAUUUCAUCAGCACUCAACAGUUACUGACUUCAUCUGAUAUCUUGGAAUCUGGUAUUCUGAACAGUGUACUCCAAAAUGGGAAUGUAGCAGAUGCAACAUGCUUGGAGCCAAACCUUGAGAAACAAGAUGAAGCCUUGCGUGGGAAACCAAGGGAGUCUCAGACUAAUAGUUCUGAAAUGCAAGCCCAAUCUCUUGCUCAUGUUUCUGAUUUGCAUAAAGAAAUUAAGCUCAACAACGCAGGGGAUGAGCAUGGGGAAACAACCAGUAGCAUCACUGAUGAAGUCGCUCUUUCCCUAGAACCUAGUGUUGUUUCUCAAACAAAUGGUGCACUUCUACAUGAGCAUGUGACUUCACCUGAUGAUUGUGGUGUCACAACUAAUACUUCUGUUGAUGAGGCUAUUGUUUACUCAGAAAAUAAUGGCGUUCUUCAGACAGAUCGGAUCCUUAUACAGGAGCAUGUGAUGGUACCUGAAACAGCAAGUAUCAAGACAGAAGUUGUUCAGAUUGCAGAUGGCCAAUUUAGAUCUGUAACACCUGCAACUCAAUUGGAUGCUUAUACCUCAAAUACAAGUGCAGCAACAAUAAAAUCAGCUGUGUCCAUUGAUCAUCAUGAUGUGGUUGAGCAACCACUGCUUGGUCCCAACCCUAACGAACAACGAAAGUCAGAAGAUCUUGCCUCUCAACCAGCAAUGGAUACAAAGGGUUUUUUGCAAAAGGAAGACAACCACAACACGGUAGAGGAAGAUGAAAGUGAAUUCAAGAAAUCAGUAUCUGGCAUCACAGACGAAGAGCGUGAGGCAAGCAAGGCUAAUCAUGAACAUGGGAUAAGUGCGACAACAACGAUCAGCAGGAGAACUGGGAAGGGACAGCAGAAGAAAGAGGACAACCUAUUUUGGCUUAUCGUAAGGGCAUUUGUUGUUUCUAUGUCUAAGUUGUGGGCAAAAUGA
rnacentral:rRNA from 1 species